rnacentral:piRNA from 1 species
UAGUUGCUGUUUCAGAUGGGAUGUUUUU